rnacentral:rRNA from 1 species
GACGAACGCUGGCGGCGUGCUUAACACAUGCAAGUCGAACGGAAAGGCCCCUUUGGUGGUACUCGAGUGGCGAACGGGUGAGUAACACGUGAGUAACCUGCCCUUGACUUCGGGAUAACUUCAGGAAACUGGGGCUAAUACCGGAUAGGAAUCCUUGCUGCAUGGUGGGGGUUGGAAAGCUUCGGCGGUUUUGGAUGGACUGGCGGCGUAUCAGCUUGUUGGUGGGGUAGUGGCUUACCAAGGCUUUGACGGGUAGCCGGCCUGAGAGGGCGACCGGCCACAUUGGGACUGAGAUACGGCCCAGACUCCUACGGGAGGCAGCAGUGGGGAAUAUUGCACGAUGGGCGGAGGCCUGAUGCAGCAACGCCGCGGGCGGGAUGACGGCCUUCGGGUUGUAAACCGCUUUCAGCAGGGGCGAAGCUUGUGGUGACGGUACCUGCAGAAGAAGCACCGGCUAACUACGUG